GUCUAUGGCUAUGCUACCCUGAACAAGCCCAAUCCCAUCUGAUCUUGGAAGUUAAGUAGGGUCAGGCCUGGUUAGUACUUGGAUGGGAGACCACCUAGGAAGACCAAGUGCUGUAGGUA
rnacentral:rRNA from 1 species